AUUGAACGCUGGCGGCAGGCCUAACACAUGCAAGUCGAACGAGUGGCGGACGGGUGAGUAAUGUCUGGGAAACUGACUGAUGGCGGGGGAUAACUACUGGAAACGGUAGCUAAUACCGCAUACCCUCGGAUGUGCCCAGAUGGGAUUAGCUAGUAGGUGGGGUAAAGGCUGACCUAGGCGACGAUCCCUACCUGGUCUGAGAGGAUGACAAGCCACACUGGAAAUGAGACACGGUCCAGACUCGUACGGGAGGCAGCAGUGGGGAAUAGUGCACAAUGGGCGCAAGCCGGAGGCAGCCAUGCCGCGUGUAUGAAGAAGGCCGUCGGGUUGUAAAGUACUUUCAGCGGGGAGGCGUUACCCGCAGAAGAAGCACCGGCUAACUCCGUGCCAGCCGCCGCGGUAAUAC
rnacentral:rRNA from 1 species